CUUACAAAUCAUUGGCUCAGGCUGACGGAUGCUUGUCCUGGUCAUCCCCAGACAAAUAAAUAAAUACACAUUUUCUAUAGCGAUCAAGACCUGGCAUGCGCAGACUGCCAAGCCACCACCAACUAACUUUGAUUAAACGAGGAAACCGGUCUACUUGUUGAAAAUGUGGUAAUCAGAGAGUUUCCACCCAGCCGGGAAGCCCAGUCCUGAGGGGGAGGGGAGCCUCCCUUGCAGCCGGCCUCGCUCCCCAUCCUGAAGAAAGUGAGAAUGCACAGGCCGCCCUCGACCUCCAGCCUGAAGAUGCCCGAGGAGCCCUGAAAGGCAGGCCGCCUCCAGCGUCUCCCAGACCAAGGCUUGCUCGAGCCAGGUGGACCGGCAAACUCUGGGAGAGGGACUCUCCAGGCUCCAGACACUGUGCCUCCACUUCCAGAGGUAAUUGCUGCUGUUUAUUUUCAUCCUAUAUUAUGAUGAUGUUUUAUAGAGGAUUUAAAAUGGUGAGAGGCUGGAGUGGAUGGAGAAACUUAAUAGAAAAGAGAGCGGCGGUGUUGCCUGGAGGGGCUGGUGAUCCGACUUCAUUUCGAGCAUUCAGUCGUGUUAAAAGGGCUGCCCCGGUUUCCUUCUCAAAUGUCCUUUGUAGUUUGCAAAAGCUGGCAGGUUCGCCUAACUUUUUCAUUUUCUUUUCCUGCUAACUCCUCGCUGCAGUUUUUCAGGUUUUCCUGCUCUGAACACUGAAUUCUUUUAAGUCGGAGUAUCUAUGUUGGCUUCAUGUCAGCUCCAGGGAUUUACAUACAGUGUCCAGAUUGUUUUUCUGUCAUAGUUCCACGGUAAAAAUGAACUUGCAACGUACGAUCAGGCUGCUUUCUGUUCUUGUAAUGAAGGGAAAAAAAAUCAAACGAUGAUCCCAAGACCUGUUAAAAUAUAGCGAACGGGAAGGGGGUUUUGUUUGUUUUGUUAUUAGAUCUGAGAAGCCUGUGGAAGGCAAGGAUCUGGAGAGAAAAUCAGAAGUUAGCUAAACGGAGAGGUCUGCUAUCACGAGGAUUAAAUCAGAGAUAAUGGUGCUAUUUUAUAAGCGCACACUGGGAAAUCUGUCUUAAGGAGGGCUGGUCUGUUUGGAUAAUGGUGAAAAAUGAGGUGUAGCUGAUGUUUGUCGCUUUACAAAGAGGUGAGGUGGGCUCCCCCCCCCCCC